GGAGAGGUGGCAGAGUGGUCGAAUGCACCGCACUCGAAAUGCGGCAUACGGGCAACCGUAUCGAGGGUUCGAAUCCCUCCCUCUCCG
rfam:Martelella mediterranea DSM 17316 strain MACL11, complete genome.